AGCAACAAAUGCCCUGCUUCCAGGAAAAGCCUCUAAGCAUCAGGUAACAUCAAAUCGUACCCCAAACCGACACAGGUGGUCAGGUAGAGAAUACCAAGGCGCUUGAGAGAACUCGGGUGAAGGAACUAGGCAAAAUGGUGCCGUAACUUCGGGAGAAGGCACGCUGACACGUAGGUGAAGUGAUUUACUCAUGGAGCUGAAGUCAGUCGAAGAUACCAGCUGGCUGCAACUGUUUAUUAAAAACACAGCACUGUGCAAACACGAAAGUGGACGUAUACGGUGUGACGCCUGCCCGGUGCCGGAAGGUUAAUUGAUGGGGUCAGCGCAAGCGAAGCUCCUGAUCGAAGCCCCGGUAAACGGCGGCCGUAACUAUAACGGUCCUAAGGUAGCGAAAUUCCUUGUCGGGUAAGUUCCGACCUGCACGAAUGGCGUAAUGAUGGCCAGGCUGUCUCCACCCGAGACUCAGUGAAAUUGAACUCGCUGUGAAGAUGCAGUGUACCCGCGGCAAGACGGAAAGACCCCGUGAACCUUUACUAUAGCUUGACACUGAACAUUGAGCCUUGAUGUGUAGGAUAGGUGGGAGGCUUUGAAGCGUGGACGCCAGUCUGCGUGGAGCCGACCUUGAAAUACCACCCUUUAAUGUUUGAUGUUCUAACGUGGACCCGUAAUCCGGGUUGCGGACAGUGUCUGGUGGGUAGUUUGACUGGGGCGGUCUCCUCCUAAAGAGUAACGGAGGAGCACGAAGGUUGGCUAAUCCUGGUCGGACAUCAGGAGGUUAGUGCAAUGGCAUAAGCCAGCUUGACUGCGAGCGUGACGGCGCGAGCAGGUGCGAAAGCAGGUCAUAGUGAUCCGGUGGUUCUGAAUGGAAGGGCCAUCGCUCAACGGAUAAAAGGUACUCCGGGGAUAACAGGCUGAUACCGCCCAAGAGUUCAUAUCGACGGCGGUGUUUGGCACCUCGAUGUCGGCUCAUCACAUCCUGGGGCUGAAGUAGGUCCCAAGGGUAUGGCUGUUCGCCAUUUAAAGUGGUACGCGAGCUGGGUUUAGAACGUCGUGAGACAGUUCGGUCCCUAUCUGCCGUGGGCGCUGGAGAACUGAGGGGGGCUGCUCCUAGUACGAGAGGACCGGAGUGGACGCAUCACUGGUGUUCGGGUUGUCAUGCCAAUGGCACUGCCCGGUAGCUAAAUGCGGAAGAGAUAAGUGCUGAAAGCAUCUAAGCACGAAACUUGCCCCGAGAUGAGUUCUCCCUGAGACUUAGAGUCUCCUGAAGGAACGUUGAAGACGACGACGUUGAUAGGCCGGGUGUGUAAGCGCAGCGAUGCGUUGAGCUAACCGGUACUAAUGAACCGUGAGGCUUAACCUU
rnacentral:rRNA from 1 species